ensembl:misc_RNA Y_RNA Y RNA
GGCUGGUCCGAAGGUAGUGAGUUAUCUCAAUUGAUUGUUCACAGUCAGUUCAGAUUGAACUCCUUGUUCUACUCUUACUCCCCUUCUCACUACUGCACUUGACUAGUCUAAA